GGAGGCAGACAAAACUCAAGCCUAGGGAGUUGCUACAAGGGCCAAGGAGGAGCAGAAUCUGAGAGGGAAGACAGGAGCUCAGGCUGCCUAUCAGCUGCUCCUGCCUCUUCUAAUCGAUCUUCCCCACGGGACCCUGCCCCUCCACACCGUCUCCUCUCCUUCCUGACCGUCCUAGCCCUGGAUCACAGUUUUGUAAGGCUUCUGAGCAGUUCUGGAGCCCAGCCCACAAGAUGGCGAUGUCUGCAUCCAAGGUGAGUCUUGCCCCCUCAGGUCAUCCUCUCUGGAAAUGUAUGACACAUAUACUUAAGCGAGAGCCUCUCUGGUACCCUGGGCAUGUGCUAAUGCAAUCAAGUUGCCAAUGGAAAUCGACUGUCACUGAUGCUUACAUGAUAAUCCUCCCCCUCGUACCCAUAGUUUUUCAUUUGUUUUACUUGAGGCAUGACAUUUUGGUGGGUUAUCAGAAACAUAUUAGUAAAGUUGUAAAACGGGAAUAAGUAUAAUAAAAUACAAGUCUGUGGGAAGGGUGGCACACGCUGUUAGUCCCAGCCCUCAGGAGGCAGAGGCAGGUGAGCCUAGGCUACAGAGUGAGUUCCAGAACAGCCAUGGCUAUAUAGAGAGACUCUUA